rnacentral:lncRNA from 1 species
CUCCUGCAGGCUGGGACACACACACGUUCUCACAUAUGCAUCUUUCUGCGACCAGAACCAGCACUCGACAACCCCACUGCGGCCGUGAACAUCUUGUAUGAGAUGGAUUUAUCAUAAAGAAAUGCCCAAAGAAGCAAGGACAGCAAGCUCUUGUCAGCUCAAAGCUCAAACAGCUUACGCUCAGUGAUUGAAGAACAGCUAGCAUUUGAGAAGCACCUAUACUGAACAUGAUGAAAAAAUUCCUGUCAGCUGAGGGAGUAUUUCUGCAGCAGCGGAUGGUGCAAGACUCCCUGUUCCCAAAAACAUCAGACAUUUCCCCAGAGGAUUCU